CAGAUAUUAGUUUAAAUAAAAUAUUAAUUUUGGAGAUUAAUGAAAAAGAUUUUUUUAUAUCUGA
rnacentral:tRNA from 1 species